rnacentral:rRNA from 1 species
UACGGGAGGCAGCAGUAGGGAAUAUUGGUCAAUGGGUGAGAGCUUGAACCAGCCAUGCCGCGUGCAGGAAGAAGGCCUUCUGGGUUGUAAACUGCUUUUGUCAGGGGAUAAAAUUUCCUUGCGAGGAAAAUUGAAGGUACCUGGUGAAUAAGCCACGGCUAACUACGUGCCAGCAGCCGCGGUAAUAUGUAGGUGGCAAGCGUUGUCCGGAUUUAUUGGGUUUAAAGGGUGCGUAGGCGGCUUAUUAAGUCAGUGGUGAAAUAUGGCGGCUUAACUGGGAGGGUGGCAUUGAUACUGGUGGGCUUGAGUACAGAUCAGAUAGGCGGAAUUGACGGUGUAGCGGUUAAAUGCUUAGAUAUCGUCAAGAACACCUAUAGGGAAGGCAGCUUAUUAGGCUGUAACUGACGUUGAGGCAAGAAAGUGUGGGGAUCAAGCAGGAUUAGAUCCCUUGUUCGUCCACUCUGUAAACGUUAAUUACUCGUUGUGUGCGAUAUACAGUACGGGCCAAGGAAAGCGUUAAGUAUCCACUGGAUA